AGUUUGAUCAUGGCUCAGAUUGAACGCUGGCCGGGAUGCUUUUACACAUGCAAGUCGAACGGCAGCACGGACUUCGGUCUGGUGGCGAGUGGCGAACGGGUGAGUAAUGUAUCGAACGUACUUACAGUAGCGGGGGAUAACUACGGCGUAGCUAAUACCUUCGGGGAAAGCGGGGGACCGCUGGGCCUCGCACUAUUAAACGGCCGAUAUCGGAUUAGCUAGUUGGUGGGGUAACGGCUCACCAAGGCGACGAUCCCGUAGCUGGUUUGAGAGGACAGCCAGCCACUGGGACUGGAACUGACCCAGACUCCUACAGGAGGCAGCAGUGGGGAAUUUUGGACAAUGGAAAAUGAUCCAGCCAUCCCGCGUGUGCGAUGAAGGCCUUCGGGUUGUAAAGCACUUUUGGCAGGAAAAAACGGCACGGAUAAUACCCCGUGCAACUGACAGUACGAAUAAGCACCGGCUAACUACGUGCCAGCAGCCGCGGUAAUACGUAAGUGCAAGCGUUAAUCGGAAUUACUGGGCAUUGGCUUGUGCGGGCGGUUCGGAAAGAAAGAUGUGAAAUCCAGAGCUUAACUUUGGAACUGCAUUUUUAACUACCGAGCUAAGAGAGUGUGUCAGAGGAGGUGGAAUUCCGCGUGUAGCAGUGCGUGCGUAGAUAUGCGGAGGAACACCAUUCGCUGAAGGCAGCCUCCUGGGAUAACACUGACGCUCAUGCGAAAGCGUGGGGAGCAAAACAGGGAUUAGAUACCCUGGUAGUCCGCCUAAACGAUGUCAAUAGCUGUUGGGGCCUUCGGGCCUUGGUAGCGCAGCUAACGCGUGAAGUUGACCGCCUGGGAAGUACAAGUCAUAAAAUUCAAAACUCAAGAAUUGACAGGGACCCGCACAAGCAGUCGGAUGAUGUGGACAAUUCGAUGCAACGCGAAAAACUACCUACCCUUGACAUGUCUGAAUCCCGAAGAGAUUUGGGAGUGCUCGCAAGAGAACCGGAACACAGGUGCUGCAUGGCUGUCGUCAGCUCGUGUCGUGAGAUGUUGGGUUAAGUCCGCAACAGAGCUCAACCCUUGUCAGUAGAUUGCUACGAAAGGGCACUCUAAUGGAGACUGCCGGUAACAAACCGGAAGAUUAGGAUGACGUCAGAAUCCUCAUAUUAUAUGGGUAGGGCUUCACACGUCAUACAAUGAGGUGGACAGAGGUCGCCAACCCGCGAGAAGGUAAUCCGAAGCCCGAUCGUAGUCCGGAUCACGGUCGCUCGACUAGCGAUAAGUCCGAAUCGCUAGUAAUCGCGGAUCAGCAUGUCGCGGUGGGCCACGUUCCAGGUCUUGUACACACCGCCCGUCACACCAUGGGAGUGGUUUUACCAGAAGUAGUUAGCCUAACCGUAAGGGGAGGGCGAUUACCACGGUAAGUUCAUGACUGGGAAUUGAAGUCGUAACAAA
rnacentral:rRNA from 1 species